rnacentral:misc_RNA from 1 species
UUUUCAUUUUGCAAUUGCCGUCACAUGUUUGUAUAAUAUUAUGUUUAAAAGUUUAUAAAUAGUUUUCUUUACUUCCUGGUCGAUUCAUUUAAGGAAUGUUUGUUUAUGAUAUAUCUGGAUUUAAAAAUGAAACUUUUUUGUGUGAUAUUGCUAUUGGACAUUUGUAAUAAAGUGCUAGGAUGGACAUGUGUUUCUUCUGUCAGGAGAGUGUUUACAAGAGUUAACAGUGACGUAGAAUUAAAGUUCGACAUCAGUUCUGCAUUGCCUGGACAGAAUGAAGCAAAAACAUUUAAUGUUGCAUUUUAUGAUGGUUCACCGCCAAUUGCUGUAAUAAGAUACGCCUUUGGAACCAUCAAUACAAGUCCAGCAGAUAUAAUAUCUGGUGAUGCUGCUGGAAAUGUUAUCGUGAAAAUGAAGAAAAUACAAAUAAACGAAGCUGGAACUUACAAAAUAUCUAGUGUGACAGGAACACAUGGAUGUAACUGUCUUAAUAUCUUGGGAUUACCGACGAAACCUGUAAUAACUGGGAAUACAACUUCCUCAGAAGGAGAGAGCAUACGAUUGACAUGUAGAAGCACAUCAUCUACCAUACCCAGUAAUCACAGUCUCAGUUUUUCACACAGCUGGAGAGUUAACGAUGAAAAAAAUCCCACAGAAUACUCAUAUACCUCAACAAGGAAUACAAUGACAAUGUUGAAUGUAACACGGAACGAUUCUAGUAAACAGUUUACAUGUACUGCCAAAGAAGUUGUCAAUAAUGGGUAUGAAUCAAGCAGUAGUGACCGUGUUUUACUAAAUAUUUUUUAUGGCACUGAUGGAGGUCCAACGAUUAGCAGUUACAGCGAUGGAGAUACUUACCAUGUAAUUGACCGUACUAUAGGGAUAUUAUCCUGCACAAUAAAAGGAGGCAAUCCUCGGCCAAGGUUAAACUGGUCAUGCUAUAAUGAAACUGGUACAACGUCAUACCCAAAUGAUUAUAUGGUAACUGAGACUGUUACCUGGACAGCUAUGCGCAGAACAGAUGCAAAAUGCACCUGUCAGUCUUCACACAUUAUUUCAGGUCAACAAUCAAUUUACGUCAAUGUCAAGAUACUUUAUCCGCCAACACCACCAAGCUUCGUCAUCAGUUUUCAGACAGUCUAUGGUACAAUUAUCAAAAUUAUACAAGGGAAUUCACUUGUUGUGGAAUGUUCGAGUUCCAGUGAACCAGCACCAAAAUUUACAUGGAAAAUCCCAAGAGGAUUAUCUGAAGAAAGUCGGGUUUUAUCUAUCAGCAAUGUACAAAUAUCAAAUAACGGUCAGUACUCAUGUGAGGUAGAAAAUACAAUGAAACCUUCUUCUGGGGGAACUGUGAGUGGAAGGUCUGGAAGAGAUAUACAAGUGCAGGUGCUAUAUGCACCAUCUGUAAUCCCGUUCAAUGUUGAUCCAGUUUUAGAAGGAUCAACACUGUCAGUUGAAUGUAAAACUAGGCCGGGAAACCCAGCAAAAACAACAUACUCAUGGAAGAGGACCUUAAGUAGCUCACCAGAUAAUCCCUGGCAAGAUAUUCAAGGAUUUUCAAUAAAUGGAAGCCAGUUUUACAAAACAAAAAUCAACAGAAAAGAUGCUGGGACUUACAAAUGUACUGCAUCAAAUGCAAUGAAACCAACAGCUGCAGCACCACAGAUUGGUUCCAGUUCACAGAUGUUCAUACUCAAUAUUUUUCAUAAAACAUCUAUCUCAAGCUUUUUUGAAGUUAAUCACCCUACAACACAGGAAGUAACAGUAUCUGAAAACUCUUCAAUUACUCUUCAAUGUUUAGUGGAUAGUAAUCCAGGUUCUUCUAUCAGCAUAUUGAAAGAUGGUGAGACUAAACUGUCAGUGGAAAACGCAAAGCAGAUUUCAUACAUCUAUUCAAAAGUUUCUUGCGAUACAGCGGGGAUCUACAGCUGUGUUGGUUAUAAUGUACACAACACCGAAGACAGAAAACCAUUGAAACGUUUACGACUGUUUGUUACAUGUUCACCUCGCCUUCCAUCACCAGAAUACUUUGUGAGCAAUAUUAAUAGUGCCUUGAGUGAUGAAGCCGAGCUGAAGAUUACAGUUGUAGCCUAUCCUGUUCCGAAGGAAUCUGCGUAUGUAUGGUCAAAAUGGAAUGGAGAUACAUGGGAGACAUUAACAAAUGAUAAUAAUGUGGAAAUCAACACCAGUGGUUUCGAUUCCAGUCUGAGAUUUCAGAGUGUUAAAGUGUCUGACUAUCAAAAAUACAGAGUGAAUGUAAAGAACAGUUUUGGACAACUUCAGCAGGAAUUCAUUCUCAGUCCAAUCGGUCAGCCGGAUCCACCAGAAAAUGUAAAUAUCAUUGAUGGAUCUUUGAGAAAAACAUCUGCCAUAAUAUUAUGGAAUCCGGCUUUUGAUGGCGGCACCAAACAAACAUUUGUUGUCCAGUAUAAAAAACAGGGAACAUCAAUUUGGUUAGAAGUUUCAAAAGAGGAUGAAAGAACAUACAACAUGAAUGUUUCAUUGACAGAUCUUGACCAUGGCACAACAUAUGUCUUUCGGAUGUAUUCCAAGAACAUUGAAGGAAACAGCUCUUUUACAGAUACAUUAACUUUCAAAACAGUAGCGACAAAGAAGACAGAAUCUCAGACAGCUAUCAUAGGCGGUGCGAUUGGUGGAUCUGUGACUUUUAUCGUUGUCGUAUCAGCUGGGUUUGUUUAUAUUUUAAGACAAAAGAAGUUCUUAAAACGCAAACAUGUAGAACGAAAAGAUGAAUCAAGGCUGAGUGAACAAAACUCGUACAUGGAUCUUCAGAGUGGUAACACGGCUGCAAAUGAAUAUGAAUGUGUUCACACCAUUAAUGGUGGUCCAUCCUAAAAGAAAGACAUUGAAUACUGCCCAACCCGUCGUGGCAUGCACUAGGUUUGACGUCCUCCAACCGAAACCAACAGCCCUUUCCAGGACUACACACAUCCUUCUGAAAGGAAGAUCAAAGUUUGCCUGAAGGGGAUCCCAAACUGUACAUGGAACUCCAUUCCGCAGACGGCAAAAUGAAGGAACACAUUUAUAACAAA